CCUACGGGAGGCAGCAGUGGGGAAUUUUGGACAAUGGGCGCAAGCCUGAUCCAGCAAUGCCGCGUGCAGGAUGAAGGCCUUCGGGUUGUAAACUGCUUUUGUACGGAACGAAACGGCUCCUUCUAAUACAGGGGGCUAAUGACGGUACCGUAAGAAUAAGCACCGGCUAACUACGUGCCAGCAGCCGCGGUAAUACGUAGGGUGCAAGCGUUAAUCGGAAUUACUGGGCGUAAAGCGUGCGCAGGCGGUUAUAUAAGACAGAUGUGAAAUCCCCGGGCUCAACCUGGGACCUGCAUUUGUGACUGUAUAGCUAGAGUACGGUAGAGGGGGAUGGAAUUCCGCGUGUAGCAGUGAAAUGCGUAGAUAUGCGGAGGAACACCGAUGGCGAAGGCAAUCCCCUGGACCUGUACUGACGCUCAUGCACGAAAGCGUGGGGAGCAAACAGGAUUAGAUACCCUGGUAGUCCACGCCCUAAACGAUGUCAACUGGUUGUUGGGUCUUCACUGACUCAGUAACGAAGCUAACGCGUGAAGUUGACCGCCUGGGGAGUACGGCCGCAAGGUUGAAACUUAAAUGAAUUGACGG
rnacentral:rRNA from 1 species